UGGGGAAUUUUGGACAAUGGGCGCAAGCCUGAUCCAGCCAUGCCGCGUGCGGGAAGAAGGCCUUCGGGUUGUAAACCGCUUUUGUCAGGGAAGAAAUCUUCUGAGUUAAUACCUCGGGAGGAUGACGGUACCUGAAGAAUAAGCACCGGCUAACUACGUGCCAGCAGCCGCGGUAAUACGUAGGGUGCAAGCGUUAAUCGGAAUUACUGGGCGUAAAGCGUGCGCAGGCGGUUUUGUAAGACAGAGGUGAAAUCCCCGGGCUCAACCUGGGAACUGCCUUUGUGACUGCAAGGCUUGAGUGCGGCAGAGGGGGGAUGGAAUUCCGCGUGUAGCAGUGAAAUGCGUAGAUAUGCGGAGGAACACCGAUGGCGAAGGCAAUCCCCUGGGCCUGCACUGACGCUCAUGCACGAAAGCGUGGGGAGCAAACAGGAUUAGAUACCCUGGUAGUCCACGCCCUAAAACGAUGUCAACUGGUUGUUGGGAAGGUUCCUUCUCAGUAACGUAGCUAACGCGUGAAGUUGACCGCCUGGGGAGUACGGCCGCAAGGUUGAAACUUAAAUGAAUUGACGGGGUCAUAGCUGUUUCC
rnacentral:rRNA from 1 species